rnacentral:rRNA from 1 species
AAAAACAUUUCUUCUUGAUUCGAUAGGAAGUAAAGUCUGCCCACUGAAUUAAUUUAAAGGGCCGCGGUAUUUUGACCGUGCAAAGGUAGCAUAAUCAUUAGUCUUUUAAUUGGAGAAUGGAAUGAAUGGCUUCAUGAUGUAAAUCUUUUUAAGGGGCAAGAUAAAAAAUUUGAUAAAAAGUGAAAAUACUUUUAUAAUAAAAAAAGACGAUAAGACCCUUUAGAAUUUUAUUUAACCAUGUGAAGGGUUAAAUUUAAUUGGGGCAGUUGAAGAAUUAAUUUAAUUUCUUUAAAAAUAAUUUUUAAUAAAAAAAAUUUUUCUUAAAUUUUAAAAAAUUUAAAAAAUUACCUUAGGGAUAACAGCGUAAUUAAUAUUGAGAGUUCAGAUCGACAUAUUAUUUUGCGACCUCGAUGUUGAAUUAAAAUACCUAAAUGGGGCAGAAUUUAUUUAAGGUAGUCUGUUCGACUAUAAAAUUUUUACAUGAUUUGAGUUCAGACCGGA